GUGCCAGCCGCCGCGGUAAUACGUAGGCAUCAAGCGUUGUCCGGAUUUAUUGGGCGUAAAGAGCUCGUAGGCGGUUCAGCAAGUCGGGUGUGAAAACUCUGGGCUUAACCCAGAGCCUGCACUCGAAACUGCUGUGACUAGAGUUCGGUAGGGGAGCAGGGAAUUCCUAGUGUAGCGGUGAAAUGCGCAGAUAUUAGGAGGAACACCAAUGGCGAAGGCACUGCUCUGGGCCGAUACUGACGCUGAGGAGCGAGAGCGUGGGUAGCAAACAGGAUUAGAUACCCUGGUAGUCCACGCCGUAAACGAUGGGCACUAGGUGUGGGUCUCUAACCAACGAGAUCUGCGCCGUCGCUAACGCAUUAAGUGCCCCGCCUGGGGAGUACGGUCGCAAGACUAAA
rnacentral:rRNA from 1 species